AUUGAACGCUGGCGGCAGGCCUAACACAUGCAAGUCGAACGAGUGGCGGACGGGUGAGUAAUGUCUGGGAAACUGACUGAUGGAGGGGGAUAACUACUUGAAACGGUAGCUAAUACCGCAUACCAUCAGAUGUGCCCAGAUGGGAUUAGAGUGUUGGUGGGGGAACGGCUAACCAAGGCGACGACCCCUAGCUGGUCUGAGAGUAUGACCAGGAACAGUGGAACUGGGACACGGUCCAGACUCCUACGGGAGGCAGCAGUGGGGAAUAUUGCACAAUGGGCGCAAGCCUGAUACAGCCAUGCCGGGUGUAUGAAGAAGGCCUUCGGGUUGUAAAGUACUUUCAGCGGGGAGGCGUUACCCGAAGAAGAAGCACCGGCUAACUCCGUGCCAGCAGCCGCGGUAAUAC
rnacentral:rRNA from 1 species